rnacentral:rRNA from 1 species
AGAACGAACGCUGGCGGCAGGCUUAACACAUGCAAGUCGAGCGCCCCUCACGGGGGAGCGGCAGACGGGUGAGUAACGCGUGGGAAUCUACCCAACUCUACGGAAUAACUCAGGGAAACUUGUGCUAAUACCGUAUACGCCCUUCGGGGGAAAGAUUUAUCGGAGUUGGAUGAGCCCGCGUUGGAUUAGCUAGUUGGUGGGGUAAAGGCCUACCAAGGCGACGAUCCAUAGCUGGUCUGAGGGGAUGAUCAGCCACAUUGGACUGAGACACGGCCCAAACUCCUACGGGAGGCAGCAGUGGGGAAUAUUGGACAAUGGGCGCAAGCCUGAUCCAGCCAUGCCGCGUGCGUGAUGAAGGCCUUAGGGUGUAAAGCACUUUCACCGGAGAAGAUAAUGAGUAUCCGGAGAAGAAGACCCCGGCUAACUUCGUAGCCAAACAGACCGAC